rnacentral:snoRNA from 1 species
CAGAUUAUACUUUUAGGGAUCAUUUCCAUAGUUCAUUACUGGAAAAGUUUCUCAGAAUAUAUAUAGAGAGAAAAAAAGAAUCUAUAGA